UACGGAGGGAGCUAGCGUUAUUCGGAGUCACUGGGCGUAAAGCGUACGUAGGCGGCUUUGUAAGUUAGAGGUGAAAGCCUGGAGCUCAACUCCAGAACUGCCUUUAAAACUGCAUCGCUUGAAUCCAGGAGAGGUGAGUGGAAUUCCGAGUGUAGAGGUGAAAUUCGUAGAUAUUCGGAAGAACACCAGUGGCGAAGGCGGCUCACUGGACUGGUAUUGACGCUGAGGUACGAAAGCGUGGGGAGCAAACAGG
rnacentral:rRNA from 1 species